rnacentral:tRNA from 1 species
GAGCCCGUAGCUCAGUUGGUAGAGCAACGGACUUUUAAUCCGUUGGUCGCGCGUUCGAGUCGCGCCGGGCUCAC